UACGAAGGGGGCUAGCGUUGCUCGGAAUCACUGGGCGUAAAGGGUGCGUAGGCGGGUCUUUAAGUCAGGGGUGAAAUCCUGGAGCUCAACUCCAGAACUGCCUUUGAUACUGAAGAUCUUGAGUUCGGGAGAGGUGAGUGGGACUGCGAGUGUAGAGGUGAAAUUCGUAGAUAUUCGCAAGAACACCAGUGGCGAAGGCGGCUCACUGGCCCGAUACUGACGCUGAGGCGCGAAAGCUAGGGGAGCAAACGGG
rnacentral:rRNA from 1 species